GUGCUCGCUUCGGCAGCACAUAUACUAAAAAUUGGAACGAUACAGAAAUUAGCAUGGCCCCUGCGCAAAGAUGACACGCAAAUUUGUGAAGCAAUCCAUAUUUAA
rnacentral:snRNA from 1 species